GUGAGCGUGUACUCCUCUGUUUAUCCACAAAGCUGGUCCAGCAUGGGCAGCAACUGAACAAGCUUCUCAGGUUUCUUCAUCAAUGUGCCAUCACUUUGUCCUUCAGGGACCAUGGGUUAGCAAUGCCUAAUCAGUGCCUGGCACGU
rnacentral:sRNA from 7 species